rnacentral:rRNA from 1 species
GACGUAGGGCGCGAGCGUUGUCCGGAUUUAUUGGGCGUAAAGAGCUCGUAGGCGGCUUGUUGCGUCGACCGUGAAAACUUGGGGCUUAACCUUAAGCUUGCGGUUGAUACGGGCAGGCUAGAGUUCGGUAGGGGAGACUGGAAUUCCUGGUGUAGCGGUGAAAUGCGCAGAUAUCAGGAGGAACACCGGUGGCGAAGGCGGGUCUCUGGGCCGAUACUGACGCUGAGGAGCGAAGCGUGGGGAGCGAACAGG